GGGGAUCAAUUUCAGGUACAAAUAAGGCCUAUUUGGGACACCCGUUUAGGUGAGGAAAUGUUUAUAAUUAUAAAUCAUUUUCUUUCCUUUAAUUAUCUUCCCAAACGCCGUUUCCCCCAAACUCGAAGCCGAUCCUUCCUCCUCUCCUUCCUUCCCCGACCUCCCUUCCUUCUCCGAUCUCCCUCGCAGACGAGCGACGAUUGGCGAUUCCUCCUUCCCUUCUCGGUGUCGCCGGCGCAAAGCAACCACCGAAGCUUUAGGAGGGAGCUAGUUGCUGAUCCUCCGUCUUCUCCCUCUCGAUUUCUCUCUCCCGAACGAUCCGACGCGACCCCGACGUCGAUGUUUCCUCGACAACCUCGGCCUCACUGCGUCGCCUGAGGAUUGUCGUCCGAAUCUUGAAGGUGCUGGCGCUGUCCAAGCCUUCCCUGGUGGAGUGAUCUCCUUCUCGGCCAUUGUUGCGCUCGAUUUGGUGGGAUCUGAUCUAGGGCACAGCGAGCUCCACACUUGCUGGAUCAGAUCGGAACAACACCAUUGGAGGCAAUCGAUCAAGGAGGAGGCAUUGGAUUAGCAUAUUGGUGGAUUUUCUUCUAUGUCGAUCACUACUCUCUUUCCAGCUGCUGUUUAGGUUUUGGCUAAAGGAUUGGGGUCUAUUAAGGGUUUUUGUAGUUCCUGGACAGUGGGUAUCCUUUAUAGCUUCUUGGCAGUGAGUUGUAGGGUUGCCGAGCUACUGGAAUUGCUGUCAUACUUCAAGGUUAGUGCUUUUCUAGUGUUGUACUUGGGUAUCCUAUUCGUAUGAUGCUAAAUUGGAGUUUCUAUGGGUUGUGAGACUUUGUUCUGCUUAGAUUUAUGAGUAGUGUGAUGUAGGAUUGAUUCUUGAUGUUAGUUGUUGAUACAUAGAUUAAAUGAUGGUGAUAAAUGGAUUAAAUGGUUAUAAUUUGGAAUUUGAUUAUGAUAAGUUGAUUUGUGAUGGUUAUUUGGUGAAGGAUUUAUGUAAAUGGAUACAUGAUCAUUAUUGGUAUGUGUUGAAUUGAUGGGGGUUUGUAUUAAGUUGAAAUUUGUGGAUAUGAUGAUUAGAUGAUGUAGAUUGUUAUGUGAUCGUUCUUGAGAUCAUCGGAUUGAUUGUUGGUUGGAUUAUCGGAUGUGGUGGUUUGGUUAGUUGUUGAGGAUUGA